GGCCUGAUAGCACAAUGGUUAGUGUGUCUGCAUUCGCUCAUGUAGAGGCCGAGAACAUUCUGCAGAAGAUCCCUGUUCAAUUCAGGGUUGGGCCA